CCCUGGAUUUGGCCUGGAUUGUUAUGGCUUGC
rnacentral:piRNA from 1 species